AUCUUUCUAGUAUAAUUAAUACUAGUGAUUUCCAAUUACUAAAUCCCAGUUAAAAUCCGGGGAAAGAUA
rnacentral:tRNA from 1 species